rnacentral:rRNA from 1 species
CCUACGGGAGGCUGCAGUGGGGGAUAUUGCACAAUGGGGGAAACCCUGAUGCAGCGACGCCGCGUGUGGGAAGACGGUCCUCUGGAUUGUAAACCACUGUCCCCAGGGACGAAGAUGACGGUACCUUGGGAGGAAGUUCCGGCUAACUACGUGCCAGCAGCCGCGGUAAUACGUAGGGAGCGAGCGUUUUCCGGAAUUACUGGGUGUAAGGGGAGCGUAGGCGGGGAUGCAAGUUGGGUGUAAAAACUGCGGGCUAAACUGGUAGUCGCACUCAAAACUGCAGAUCUUGAGUGAAGUAGAGGCAGGCGGAAUUCCUAGUGUAGCGGUGAAAUGCGUAGAUAUUAGGAGGAACACCAGUGGCGAAGGCGGCCUGCUGGGCUUUUACUGACGCUGAGGCUCGAAAGUGUGGGGAGCAAACAGGAUUAGAUACCCUAGUAGUC